rfam:Homo sapiens chromosome 8, GRCh38 reference primary assembly.
GCCAGGUGUGGUGGUGGGCACCUGUAAUCCCAGCUACUCUGGAGGCUGAGGCAGGAGAAUCACUUGAGCCCAGGACGUGGAGGUUGCAGUGAGCAGAGAUCAUGUCACUGUACUCCAGCCUGGGCAACAGAGUAAGACUCUGUCUUAA